ensembl:snRNA U6 U6 spliceosomal RNA
GUGCUCACUUUGGCAGCACAUAUACUAAAAUUGGAACACUACAGAGAAGAUUAGCAUGCCCCCUGUGCAAGGAUGACAUGCAAAUUUGUGAAGCGUUCCAUAUUUUA